UCGGGAAACCGAAGCUAAUACCGGAUACGACCCUCGGAGGCAUCUCCAGGGGGUGGAAAGAAUUUUGGUCAAGGAUGGACUCGCGGCCUAUCAGGUAGUUGGUGAGGUAACGGCUCACCAAGCCGACGACGGGUAGCCGGCCUGAGAGGGUGACCGGCCACACUGGGACUGAGACACGGCCCAGACUCCUACGGGAGGCAGCAGUGGGGAAUAUUGCACAAUGGGCGCAAGCCUGAUGCAGCAACGCCGCGUGAGGGACGACGGCCUUCGGGUUGUAAACCUCUUUUAGUAGGGAAGAAGCGAAAGUGACGGUACCUGCAGAAAAAGCACCGGCUAACUACGUGCCAGCAGCCGCGGUAAUACGUAGGGUGCAAGCGUUGUCCGGAAUUAUUGGGCGUAAAGAGCUCGUAGGCGGUUUGUCGCGUCUGCUGUGAAAACCCGAGGCUCAACCUCGGGCCUGCAGUGGGUACGGGCAAACUAGAGUGCGGUAGGGGAGAAUGGAAUUCCUGGUGUAGCGGUGGAAUGCGCAGAUAUCAGGAGGAACACCGAUGGCGAAGGCAGUUCUCUGGGCCGUAACUGACGCUGAG
rnacentral:rRNA from 1 species